UCUUCCUAAUAAGAAUGAGUGGAAUAAAAAAUAAAGAGCAUGGCGGUCCUUAAUCUCGUUAGAGGGGCAUGUAACUUUUACUAAUAACGAAUUUGCACGAAAAUCUGUCCUGAUCUCGAAUAAAUUUCAUUUUGUACACCGCUGUCUGAAAGAAAUUAUAAAAAUAUUUUCUAUCUUCUCUAAAAGAAAUAAGGCAAGUUAAGGUGCAGAUAAUGGUCAGGGGGCUAUGUGCUCCAGUAAGAAUUAUGGGCUUUCAGGUGGAAUGCUGCAAAGAAAGAGAAUUUAAUAGUAAGAUUAGAAAUAUAACUAAUCUGAAGAGGGGCUAUGAAGGGUGU
rnacentral:rRNA from 1 species